rnacentral:rRNA from 1 species
UACGUAGGGGCAAGCGUUGUCCGGAAUCAUUGGGCGUAAGCGCGUGUAGGCGGCUUGGUAAGUCCGUUGUAAAAGUCAAAGGCUCAACCUUUGAAAGCCGAUGGAUACUGCUGGGCUAGAGUCCGGAAGAGGAGAGUGGAAUUCCUGGUGUAGCGGUGGAAUGCGCAGAUAUCAGGAGGAACACCAAUAGCGAAGGCAGCUCGCUGGGACGGUA